rnacentral:rRNA from 1 species
CACGUAGGGGACGAGCGUUGUCCGGAUUCAUUGGGCGUAAAGGGCUCGUAGGCGGUUUGUCGCGUCGGGAGUGAAAACAUCCAGCUUAACUGGGUGCUUGCUUUCGAUACGGGCAGACUAGAGGUAUGCAGGGGAGAACGGAAUUCCUGGUGUAGCGGUGAAAUGCGCAGAUAUCAGGAGGAACACCGGUGGCGAAGGCGGUUCUCUGGGCAUGAUCUGACGCUGAGGAGCGAAAGUGUGGGGAGCGAACAGG